rnacentral:rRNA from 1 species
UACGAGGGGGGCAAGCGUUGUUCGGAUUUAUUGGGCGUAAAGGGUGCGUAGGCGGUUUGGCAAGUCUUGUGUGAAAUCUUUGGGCUCAACCCAAAGCCUGCACAAGAAACUGCCGGGCUUGAGUAUGGGAGAGGUGAGUGGAAUUUCCGGUGUAGCGGUGAAAUGCGUAGAUAUCGGAAAGAACACCAACGGCGAAAGCACUCUGCUGGGCCGACACUGACACUGAGAGACGAAAGCUAGGGGAGCAAAUGGG